rnacentral:rRNA from 1 species
ACCAUACCUAGACACCCCAUAAACUGAAUUUGCAACGGGGUAAGAAACGCGUAGGUAACCUCCCUGGAAGGGGGGAGAUAACUAUUUUGAAAAAAAAAGCUAUUCCGGCAAAUUUUUAAUUAUCGCAUGAUAAUUGAUUGAAAGGUGCAACUGCAUCCCUCCCAGAUGGGCCCUGCGUUGUAUUUCGCUAGUAGGUGAGGGUAACGGCUCCCCCUAGGCGACGAUACAUAGCCGCCCUUGAGAGGGGUGAUCGGCCACACUGGACUGAGACACGGCCCAGGCUUCUACGAGAGGCAGCAGUAGAGAAUCUUCCGCAAUGGACGAAAGUCUGACCGAGCAACGCCGCGAGAGUGAGGAAGGUUUUCGGAUCGUAAAGCUCUGUUGUUAGAGAAGAACGUUGGUAGGAGUGGAAAAUCUCCCAAGUGACGGUAACUCCCCAGAAAGGGACGGCUAACUACGUGCCAGCAGCCGCGGUAAUACGUAGGUCCCGAGCGUUGUCCGGAUUUAUUGGGCGUAAAGCGAGCGCAGGCGGUUCUUUAAGUCUGAAGUUAAAGGCAGUGGCUUAACCAUUGUACGCUUUGGAAACUGGAGGACUUGAGUGCAGAAGGGGAGAGUGGAAUUCCAUGUGUAGCGGUGAAAUGCGUAGAUAUAUGGAGGAACACCGGUGGCGAAAGCGGCUCUCUGGUCUGUAACUGACGCUGAGGCUCGAAAGCGUGGGGCGCAAACAGG